UGGGGAAUACCUUCGGGAAUCCGAAGAUAAUACCGCAUAAUGCAGCGGCACCGCAAGGUGACAGUUGUUAAAGGAGCAAUCCGCUUGAAGAGGAGCUUGCGGCAGAUUAGCUAGUUGGUAAGGUAAUGGCUUAACCGAAGGCUACGAUCUGUAACCGGUCUAAGAGGACGGUCGGUCACACUGACACUGAAUAACGGGUCAG
rnacentral:rRNA from 1 species